rnacentral:rRNA from 1 species
UGGGGAAUAUUGGACAAUGGGGGGAACCCUGAUCCAGCCAUGCCGCGUGUGUGAAGAAGGCCUUAUGGUUGUAAAGCACUUUAAGCGAGGAGGAGGGUACUGGUAUUAAUACUACCAGCUACUGGACGUUACUCGCAGAAUAAGCACCGGCUAACUCUGUGCCAGCAGCCGCGGUAAUACAGAGGGCGCGAGCGUUAAUCGGAUUUACUGGGCGUAAAGCGUGCGUAGGCGGCUAAUUGAGUCGGAUGUGAAAUCCCCGAGCUUAACUUGGGAAUUGCAUUCGAUACUGGUUAGCUAGAGUGUGGGAGAGGAUGGUAGAAUUCCAGGUGUAGCGGUGAAAUGCGUAGAGAUCUGGAGGAAUACCGAUGGCGAAGGCAGCCAUCUGGCCUAACACUGACGCUGAGGUACGAAAGCAUGGGGAGCAAACAGG